ensembl:lncRNA
UUUUUUUUUUUUUUGGCAGCUUCCCACUUCAGAAUGUCGGUUUCUCUAUCACUCAUGAUAAGGUAGAUUUUGUUGUGCUUUAAACAGCCCCCAAGCCUCAUAGCUCAGAAUCACAAGUGUUUAUUUCUAUAAGUCAGCAGGAGGGCUCCACAUGUCAUAGUCAAUCAGGACCCCAGGUGGAAGCCCCAUCUCUAUUGAGGCUUCCAAAAUUGUUAAGAAAUGAAAAAGCAAACAUGAUAAAUUAUGUACUCACCCUUCAAUCACCUCCUCAAAGUGUUGCUGUGGCUGUGGCAUAGGCUGGCAGCUACAGCUCCAAUUUGACCCCUGGUCUGGGAACUUCAUAUGCCAGAAGUGCAGCUAUAAAAAGAAAAAAAAAAAAAUCAAAGCCAUAAAACACAAUGCUAGAAAUAAAGGUAUCACAGGAGUUCCUGUCAUGGCACAGUGGUUAACGAAUCCAACUAGGAGCCAUGAGGUUGUGGUUCAAUCCCUGGCCUUGCUCAGUGGAUUAAGCAUCCAGCGUUGCCAUGAGCUGUGGUGUAGGUCGAAGACGAGGCUCAGAUCCCGAGUUGCUGUGGCUCUGGCGUAGGCCAGUGGCUACAGCUCCAAUUAGACCCCUAGCCUGGGAAUCUCCAUGUGCGCAGGAGCGGCCCUAGAAAGGCAAAAAGACAAAAAAAAGAAAGAAAGGUAUCACUUUUGAAAAUAUGAACAUGCAAACAGGUUAAACUCUCAAAUUGAUUGAAUAAGACAAAGUCUUAUCUUCUAUAAGAUACAAGAAAGUUAGCACCAAAGGUUAGAACAAGAGGCAGAAAAUUACGACCCACAGGCCAAAUCUUGGCCAGUCUACAGCCUAUUUUUGUUGUGAGCCACAGGGAAGUCUUCCACUGCCUAUUUUUGUAAAUAAAGUUUUAUUGGAACACAGCCAUGCCCAUCUGUUUAUAUACUGUUCCCGCCUGUUUUCUGUUGAGUAGUUACCACAGAGACCAUAUGGCCCACAAAGCCUAAAAUAUUUAUUUGCCUCUUUACAAAAACAGUUUACUGACACUAGGUUAGACAGUAAAAGACAGACUAAGAUAUGUAUUACAAAUAGGAAUAAAUCGAUGGUUAUAAUAUUAAUAAUAAAGUAGAAUAAAAUGUCAAUCUUUAUUAAGUGUCUAAAAAAAAAUCCCUGAGUGUUAAAGGGGAAAAGGAGCUCAGAGUAGAACAACCUUUACUUUUCAAUUUCAUUUUGAACUGUACUAUAAUUUCCUUUAGUAGAGACUUAUUUAAUUUCCCAAAUCAUAGUUCUUCCUUUAUAAUCAAUAAAGGUUAAAUAAUAGUCUAUCUUUCUAUCUAAAUCAAUUCUUCAGUUUCUAAUAUACCUCUCUCAGAGAAUGGUAUUUGGUGAACCCAGUAAUACAAGACUGUGAGCACUGUGUUUGAUGAUAGAGAAAUGACUUUUGGUUAAAUAUAUGAAGAAUUAUAGGAAAUUAUGCAUAGCAUGCAUUUAUAACAUACGCACAAACUUUAAAAAUUCAUUAAAUCAAGAUGCCUUGGAUAAAACAGUUUUUUAAAUUAGAUAAAUGUAAUGUUUCUCUAUCUUUAUUCUUACACUGGAUGACAUUUUCUAAACUGCAAACUGUAUACACCAUAGCUCACUUCUAUGCAAUAUAUGAUCCUCUCUUUUAAUAGCUUGGAGGGCUCUGUCCUAGUUUAAAAAGAAUUCUCCACUAGAGCUGGCGUGGGCUUACAUGCCAAGAUCCAAGACAGUCCCACUCUAGAAGAAACCAGUUCCUUAAACAUUUUUGAGUCAUCAAAGCAGAGAACGCACAUAUCCAUUAUGUAUAUUUUAAUACACUGAUUAGUGUUUGAACAUCAAUGAAAGGCAGUGUAUAUAUCAAAGCAUUCUUCAGGUAAUAACUCACGAGACAGUGUUUUUUUCUAGCCACAACCACAGCAUGUGAAAUUUCCCAGGCUAAGGAUGGAACCUGCACCAUAGUAGUGACUGGAGCUACUGCAGUGCCAACAACAGAUCCCACUGCACCACAAGAGAACUCCCAUGAAAUAGUGUCUUUUGAUUUUGUUUUUGUUUUUGCUUUUUAGGGUCACAUCUGGAGCAUAUGGAAGUUCCCAGGCUAGGGGAGAAUUGGAGCUGCAACUGCCAGCCUACUCCACAGCCACAGCCACAUGGGAUCCAAGCUGCAUCUGUGACCUACACCAUAGCUCACAAACACCAGAUCCUUAACCCACUUAGUGGGGCUAGGGAUCAAACCUAUGUCCUCAUGGAUACUAGUCGGGUUCAUUACCACUGAGCCAUAGUGGGAAUUCCUAUGAAAUAGUGUCUUCAUAUGGAAUACCCUGCUCUAACACUCCUGGGCAAUAUGUUUAUUUGGAACAAGCAUAGUUGUGUCACAUCCCCACUCUCCCUCUUAUUUAUUCAUCUCACAAAUAUUUAUUGAAUGUCCACUGGGCGUAUUAGCCAGCAUUCUCCAGAGAAACAGAACCAAUCAGAUAAAUACAAAGAAAUAAGUAUAUAGAUAGAGAUAGUUAGAUAUCUAUACAUUGAAAGAACCAGAUAUAGAGAAAGAGAGAGGGAGAAAGGGAAAGAAAGAGAGAGAAACUUUUUGUAAGGAACUGGCUCUGUGAUUAUGGAAGUUAGCAAGUCUGCAAUUUGCAGAACAAGCCAGCAGCCUGGAAAUUGGGAGAAGAGUUAAUGUUGCAGUCUUGAGACUGUAGGCAGAAUACCUUCUUCUCUAGGGAUCUGUCUUUUCUCUUAAGGCUUCCAACUGAUUAGAUGAGGCCCACCUAUACGAUGAAGAGUAAUCUGCUUUACUCAAAGUCUGUUGAUUUAAACACUAAUCACAUCUAAAAAUACCUUCAGGAGUUCCCAUUGAGACUCAGAGGUAAUGAACUUGACUAAUAUCCAUGAGGACACAGGUUUGAUCCCUGGCCUUACUCAGUGGGUUAAAGAUCUGGUGUUGCCAUGAGCAGUAGUGUAGGUUGCAGAUGUAGCUCCAGUCUGGUGUUGCUGUGGCUGUGGUGUAGGCCUGUGGCUACAGCUCCAAUUCAACCCCUGGUCUGGUAAUUUCCAUAUGUUGUGGGUGAGGUCCUAAAAAAGACAAAAACAAACAAACAAACAAAAAUCCAGAGAUGAAUAAGGCUAACAAAUGAUUUAAAGCACAUGUAAAACAAACACAGGAUAACAGAACAAAACUGAAUUAGCACAAAACAUAUAGAGAAAAAAAAAGUAUAUCCAGACAUUUCACAUGGAGAUACCAGAAAGACUUGGUGAGUUUAGUAAGGUAAACUUGGCCUUAUGAUCACUGAGGUGGGACAGGUGUGCUGUUCUGAGAGUCAAUUAUUACAUCUUCCCCAGUAAGUCCAUCACUGUAGGCCCCUGAAACAUUUUUCUAGGGUCAUCUUUAUUGCUUGCACUGCUCCUGGGUUACUAAAAGUUGACUCUCACACACUGUACAUGUAUUUCCCUUCCCUACUGUGUCUCUACUUUCCUUCUGCUUCCAUUUUUUUUCAGGAAUCUAUGAGAACACAGGACAAAAUGCACACUUUGGGGAAGUAGCAUUCAGCUCAGCCAUCAAGACUUGACCAGUAUUCCCUAUGGUGACAUUCCAAACAUUGUCCUGAUUGCAUGUUGUCUCUUUCACUUCGCUGGAGUCUUAUGUGAUGUUUUGCAUUACUGCCAUUCCCUUUUACAAAGGAUGUUAGUCUCAUAUGACAAGAAAGUGGUUUUUGUAAUUGCAUAAUCUCCUCAGGUCUUUUCCUAGAUAUGUCAUCAUUCAUUUAUGAUCUGGAAAGAGACAGAAGGGCUAUAUUAACCAACAGUUGAGUGAAAGUUAACAAAUAAUGCAAGAGUCAAGAGGAACUGGCAACCGUUAGUUUUGAGAGGGAAAAGGGUUUGUCAAAAUAAUCUGAUCUUGUCAAGACCCUGCAAGUCCCACAGCUAAGAGGUAAUUCCACCAUGUGGGUCCAGCUAUUUUAAGUCCAGAGCACUUGAAUCUGGGAUUUGCUUUCUGUCUUUUGUUUCUCUUAUGACCCUAUAGUUCCUCUUCUCCUAGUGUUAAGCACCUGAGUUCUCAUCCUUAUUUCUUACUGGUUUUGUCUGCUGCUUCUCAAUACCAUCCUCUAGUCUCUCAACCUGGUAAAUUCCUUCUGAUUUCCUAAUAGCUUUUGUGUUUCAAUUUUCUGUUCAAAAGGGAUUGUAUCUGACUUGCUUAAACACAGUAAUUCAAUACAAAAAAAACCCAAGCUUUUGGAGUUCCCACUGUGGUGCAGCAGAAGCAAAUCCAGCUAGUAUCUAUGAGGAUGCGGGUUCAAUCCCUGGCCUUGCUCAGUGGGUUAAGAAUUCGACAUUGCCAUGAGCUGUGGUGUAGGUCACAGAUACCACUCGGCUCUCGCAUUGCUGUGACUGCAGUGUGAGGCCAGCGCUGCAGCGCCCAUUCUACCCAUAGCCUGGGAAUUUCCAUAUGCCAUGGGUUUGACCCUAGAAAGCAAAAAAACAAAAACAAAAAAGACAAAAAACAAAACCAAAAACCAAAAACCACCACAAACAAAAAAACACAAGCUUUUCCUCCAAACAAAUAUCUUAAGGACAAAAUACUGAAACUUGUACAAAAAAGAAAGAAGAAAUACAUUUUGUAUUGAUUUUUAAAUAAAAUAUCUUAUUCUGCCCCACACAAUAUGCUUAUUGUUAUAGUAGGUAAACCCUCUUUAAAUCAUAAAAUUAUUUUAUGUGCUUAAUUUUGAAAAUUUUCUUCCUCUUCAUAUUACCAUUACCUUAAAAUAUUUAAUUACUAUGAUGACUAGGUAUUGCAUAUUAGAUCCAAGUAAUAAAGCAGUCAGAGGGAAAGUCGGAAGAAAAUUGUCCAGAAGUUCCUGAAGUGACUCACAUCAAAUCAUAGGUGACUAUGGUACAGGCCUUGAACCAAUGCAUUACUCAGUCUACAGAGAUGCUUUUAAAAGGAUAAAUUAAACACUAUUGGGUUAAAUAUAAAGGCUCUUGAAGGCAUUAUACUAAGAGAAACAGGUCAGACAAAGAAUGACAAAUAAGGUGUGAUCUAAUUUCUAUGUGGAAUCUAUAAAAAAUAAAAUAAAAUAAAAAAGCUCAGGGAGUUGCCUUCAUGGCUCAAUGGUUAAUGAUCCAACUAGGAUCCAUGAGGAUGUGGGUUCAAUCCCUGGCCUCACUCAGUGGGCUAAGGAUCUGGUGUUUCUGUAGGUUGCAGAUGCAGCUCAGAACCUGCAUUGCUGUGGCUGUGGCAUAGGCCAGCAGCUGCAGGUGCCAUUCAACCCCUAGCUCAGGAACUUCCAUAUGCUGCAGGUGUGGCCCUAAAAAACAAGGAAGAAAAAAAAAAAAGCUCAUAGAUUUAAAGAACAGAUUGGUGGUUGCCAGAGGCAGGGGGUGGGAGGUCAGUGAAAUGGGUGAAGGAGGUGAAAAUGUACAAAAAUCCAGUCAUAAAAUAAAUAAAUCCUGAGGACAUAAUGCACAGCAUGGUGACUGUAAUAAUACUCUAUUGCAUAUUUGAAAGUUAAGAGAGUAGAUCUUAAAAGUCUUCAUCACAAGAAAAAAAAUUUUAUAACUAUGUAUGGUGGUGAUAAAUGUUAACUAGACAUAUUGCAGUGAUCAUUUUGCAAUAUAUCCAAAUAUUGAAUCAUAUGUUGUACACCUGAAACUAAUAUAAUGUUUUAUGCCAGUUAUAACGCAAUUUUUAAAAAAUUUAACCUAAAAAUACUGAAGUUAACAGAGUUCCAUUGUGGCUCAGCAAGUUAAGAACCUGGUGUUGUCUCUGUGAGGAUGGGUGUUCAAUCCCUGGCCUCACUCAGUGGGUUAAGGAUCUCACGUUACCACAAGCUGUAGUGUAGGUCACAGAUACAGCUCAGAGAUCAGGUGUUGCCUUGGCUGUGGCAUAGGCCCCAGCUGCAGCUCUGAUGCAUUGCUUGGCCUGGGAACAUCCAUAUGCUGCAGAUGCGGCUGUAAAAAUAAAAUAAAAUAAAAAUAAAAAUACCAGCAAGAGGGAGUCCCCGUUGUGGCUCAGCAGAAACGCAUCUGACUAGAAUCCAUGAGCACCCAGGUUCGAUCCCUGGCUUCACUCAGUGUGUUAAGGAUCUGACAUUGCUGUGACCUGUGGUGUCUGUCGUAGAUGUGACUCAGAUCCCACGUUGUUGUGGCUGUGGCGUAGGCCGGCAGCAACAGCUCCAAUUCGACUCCUAGCCCAGGAAUUUCCAUAUGCCAUGGGUGAGGCCCUAAAAAGAAAAAAAAAAAAAAGAAAGAAAGAAAGAAAGAAAAACUAGCAAGAAGUUGCUAGUUUUUUUCCAAGAACCAUGCUAGUGAAAGAUCUUUUUAGUGGAUAGUUCCAGCACAUUUUCCCUUGGCAAGAUAAAUAGCAUUUAUUUACACCAUUUAAUGAAAGAAAUAAAAAUUUAAAGGAAGAUUGCUGGAACAUAAAUGGGAGAACAUGGGGAGUUCCUUUCAUG